GAUGAACGCUGGCGGCGUGCCUAAUACAUGCAAGUCGAGCGAACGGACGAGAAGCUUGCUUCUCUGAUGUUAGCGGCGGACGGGUGAGUAACACGUGGAUAACCUACCUAUAAGACUGGGAUAACUUCGGGAAACCGGAGCUAAUACCGGAUAAUAUUUUGAACCGCAUGGUUCAAAAGUGAAAGACGGUCUUGCUGUCACUUAUAGAUGGAUCCGCGCUGCAUUAGCUAGUUGGUAAGGUAACGGCUUACCAAGGCAACGAUGCAUAGCCGACCUGAUAGGGUGAUCGGCCACACUGGAACUGAGACACGGUCCAGACGACUACGGGAGGCAGCAGUAGGGAAUCUUCCGCAAUGGGCGAAAGCCUGACGGAGCAACGCCGCGUGAGUGAUGAAGGUCUUCGGAUCGUAAAACUCUGUUAUUAGGGAAGAACAUAUGUGUAAGUAACUGUGCACAUCUUGACGGUACCUAAUCAGAAAGCCACGGCUAACUACGUG
rnacentral:rRNA from 1 species